rnacentral:lncRNA from 1 species
CUAUUGCCGCAGGAUGAUACCUCGAGCAAGUCUUUGGUUAGAGUGAACACAAUCCAUAACGGAGGUGGCAUCAAGCGGCCUGGCUUGACUCCCUUGUUUGCCCAUGUAUGAGAUAGCAGGCAUGUCCCAGGAUGUGGGAGUGAGACGGAUCACAAACUCUUAGAGAUAGGUGGAGGCCGAAUAUUGAGUCGAGGUAGAGAUUGUUAAGAAAAAUACAUCUCAAAAUUCAAUCCACAUUGAGCCCAC